UGAGUCAGAAUACAGUGUGUGUGUUCGUGGUGAUGAAGGAACAUGUCACCCAGUGCAGCAGAGCGGCUCGCUGAUGGAGGAAGAAGAUCCAUCAGGCUGUGAUUCACACACAACACGUUAGCAGAUACUGGCUCUGCAUCAGCCUUUUCCGUUAAACCCACAUGUGGUGUAAAAAACCCCCCCGACUUAAAUAGAUGAUGUGAACUUUAGGGACUCAUUCCAACCGGUGACAUUAUUUCUGCCCCCGAAGACGUUUCCUUUCCGAGAAACCUUUGCAGAACUAAACCUCCAGGACAUACGGGGGGGGGGUCAGCAUGCAGGUCCCAGCCUCCCUGGAAAGCUCCUCAUCUGCCCCUCAGAUGUUCAAAAGAGGCCGAGAGCUCCUCUCACCCAGCCCACAAGAUAAAUAUUGGUUUUGGACUGGCGGCUGCAGGGCGGGCGUGUUUCUGUUGUUGGACAGUUUGAAACGCAGCUACACUUCAGGCUGAAUCAUCUCACACAGAGACUGCUUCAGGCGCUACGUAGCGUAGCCGCACCUCGCACAAGGAGUCCCUCAGCAUUCUACUUUAUAUUCUGCACUGCUGUAUUUCAAAGGGAAAUAUUGUACUUUUUACUAUAACUAGAUUUGCAGAUUUCAAACAAAACACAUGAUCAUCUUGUAAAAUCUGUCGCUCUGUUAUGGAAGGGCUGAUUCAGCGUCAUGAAUACUAAAUAAUACUUCUGUUACUUCUACUUAAGUACAAAUUGAAAUGCAGGACUGUACUUUUAUAUUUUACAUCGUGGUAUUACUACCUGUAGAUCUGAAUACUUCUUCCACCACUGCAACUAGGCAUUUUGUUACGUCGAGGUACUUUUAAUGUGGUAGUUUAUCCAGUUUAGUAUAAUUGACAUUAAUGUGGAUGAAUCACUUUUUUCAAAGCGUAGCUGGUUAUGGGACUUGAUUAAAGCAAUUACAUAUUAUUUAUUUAUUUCUAAUGUUUAUCUUUUAUUUCAGUUUUUAUUCUAUUUAAGUAAUUGGUAGGCGAGCAUCAAAAUGUUAUGGCAACCUAAUGAAAAACAAAUUAAACGUUCGCUGUGCUAAUAUAAUGUAUUAGUGAGCAUUUUACAUUGCUGCUUGCAGAGCAUUAGCUAAAAGGAAUACAAUAUUUCAAAGCUGACUAAUGCCACAUAUUACACAAAGUAUGAUAAUUAAGAUAAGUAAGAAACUGUCAUUUACACACAGUGGUAAUUAUUAUUAUUACAUGUAUACUGUAACACUCGUGAGUCCACUCAGUGUAGUUUAAUGAAGCGAACCAUCACCUGCUCCUGAUCCUUCAGCUCACACCGAGUCACUGAAUAAACAGGAAGCUUACGUCAGUCUCGAGUUCCCUUUUAGUGGUUUUUGGCUGCCUUCAUAAAGCCUUUAUCAGACUGUGUGGAAGACUGAGAGAGCAGAGUCACUUCCACACAAACGAGCGGUUGUGUAGUCUGCUCUGCGUCGGUGGAAACGUUGCGGUGAGGUCAGCCACAAGGCGGCGGGUUCUCUCCGUUAACUAUUAAUGUUUAGCCGAAGGGUUUAAACAUGUGGGAGAAGCUCCACGGGCCCCGCCUCAGCUUCCUCAGGGGCCGGGCCACCUGGUCUGCAGGGUCGGACCAGUCUUCAUUCGGCUCUUCGGUUUGUCAACCUUUAAAAUGACAGAGCUUCAACCUGCAGCAUCAUCAGCAUCAUUUUGUUGGUGUUGGAGCAUCGCUGCCAUCGGUGCUCUGACAGCUCUGAGGGAAAUCCAUCUUCAUUAUCUGCUGGAAGCAAACACAACAGAGUGUCAGAUUGUGACAACAGUCCAACAGCCAGAGGGCCUACAUUUUGAAAAUUAACUCUGGCAGGAAGUCAAAUACGUUUUCAGCGGGUCUUGGGCUCCACCAGUGUUGCAGAUGACGUGGUUCUGUUGGCUUCAUCAGAUCGUGACCUUCGGCACGCACUGGAGGGGGUUUGCAUUCGAGUGUGAAGCGGCCCGGGAUGAGAGCCAACACCUCCAAGUCUGAGGCCACGGUUAUCUGCUGGAAAAUGGUGGAUUGCUUCCUCCAGGCUGGGAGUGAGUUACUGCCCCAAGUACCUCGGCUCUUGUUCAUAAGCGAGGGUAAAAUGGAGCGUGAGAUCGACAGGCGGGUUGGUGCGGCGGCCGAAAGGAGUUUCCUCUGUAGGGUGGCUGGGCUCAGCCUUAGAGAGAGGGUAAGGAGCUCGGACAUCCAGGGGGAGCUCGGAGUAGAGCCGCUGCUUCUUCGAGUUGAAAGGAGCCAGUUGAGGUGGUUGGGGCAUCUGAUCAGGAUCCUCCUGGGCGCCUUGCUCCGGAGGUUUUCUGGGCACGUCCAACUGGUAGGAGACCCCGGGUCAGACCCAGAACACGCUGGAGGGAUUUAAUAUCUCAUCUGGCUUGACAAGGCCUCGGGAUCCCCCAGGAGGAGCUGGGAAACGUGGCAGGGGAGAGGGACGUCUGGACUACCUCGCUUUAUCUGCUGCCACCACGACCCGGCACCAGAGAAGCGGCAGAACAUGGAAAAUGGAUGGACGGACGGACGUGCUUAACGCUGCCACUAUGAGGAGAAUAAUCAAUGACCGACUGCUGAAUAAAGACCCAGCUGUGGCCUGACCUGACUUCACCCUCCGUGCUCACUUUUCUCAGUGUUUGCAAACAGAGCCAGCGGUCACACACCGAAGUCCUUGAGCAUCUGAUGAGCGGUGACACGG